UUUCCGUAGGUGAACCUGCGGAAGGAUCAUUAACGAGGUGUUGCGCCGCAAGGCCGACUCUCCCGCUCUGUGUCAUGAAGCUCCGGGCGCGUCGCGAGACGGGUGCCGGUUCAGAUCGUUUCGGUGGAGGCGUUGCUCAGGCAGGUAUUUGCCUGGGCGACCGCCACCGCAGGGGGCUUUUACAAUGCUUGCGGAUGAUGAGAACUGAAGCAUUUUGAAUCAGACAAAACUUUCAACAACGGAUCUCUUGGCUCUGGCAUCGAUGAAGAACGCAGC
rnacentral:misc_RNA from 1 species